UGAUAGUUCUGCUCCAGCUGACAAUUCUGCUCCAGCGAUUGUCUGCUGCAGCUGAUAGUUCUACUCCAAAUCAGCUGAUAGUUCUACUCCAAAUCAGCUGAUAGUUCUGCUCCAGAUCAGCUGAUAGUUCUGCUCCAGAUCAGCUGAUAGUUCUGCUCCAGAUCAGCUGAUAGUUCUGCUGCAGAUCAGCUUAUAGUUCUGCUCCAGAUAAGCUGAUAGUUCUACUCCAGCUGAUAGUUCUGCUCCAGAUCAGCUGAUAGUUCUACUCCAGAUCAGUUGAUAGUUCUACUCCAGAUCAGUUGAUAGUUUUACUCCAGAUCAGCUGAUAGUUCUGCUCCAGCUGACAAUCCUGCUCCAGCUGAUAUUCUGCUCCAGAUGAUAGUUUUACUCCAGAUCAGCUGAUAAUUCUACUCCGGAUCAGCUGAUAGUUCUGCUCCGGAUCAGCUGAUAGUUCUGCUCCGGAUCA
rnacentral:lncRNA from 1 species